GGGUUGUGAGGUUAAGCGACUAAGCGUACACGGUGGAUGCCCUGGCAGUCAGAGGCGAUGAAGGGCGUGCUAAUCUGCGAUAAGCGCCGGUAAGGUGAUAUGAACCGUUAUAACCGGCGAUACCCGAAUGGGGAAACCCAGUGUGAUUCGUCACACUAUCAUUAACUGAAUCCAUAGGUUAAUGAGGCGAACCGGGGGAACUGAAACAUCUAAGUACCCCGAGGAAAAGAAAUCAACCGAGAUUCCCCCAGUAGCGGCGAGCGAACGGGGAGGAGCCCAGAGCCUGAAUCAGCAUGUGUGUUAGUGGAAGCGUCUGGAAAGGCGCGCGAUACAGGGUGACAGCCCCGUACACAAAAGCGCAUGUGCUGUGAGCUCGAUGAGUAGGGCGGGACACGUGGUAUCCUGUCUGAAUAUGGGGGGACCAUCCUCCAAGGCUAAAUACUCCUGACUGACCGAUAGUGAACCAGUACCGUGAGGGAAAGGCGAAAAGAACCCCGGCGAGGGGAGUGAAAAAGAACCUGAAACCGUGUACGUACAAGCAGUGGGAGCCCCACCACUAAGCCAGUGGUGAACUCCACAUCCGCAUCCUUUGCUGAGGAUACGGUUAACGGAGCGAAAGCGACGUUCAACCGCAAAACAAGCAGAGGGGGCUUAGUGGUGGGGUGACUGCGUACCUUUUGUAUAAUGGGUCAGCGACUUAUAUUCUGUAGCAAGGUUAACCGAAUAGGGGAGCCGGAGGGAAACCGAGUCUUAAUUGGGCGUUAAGUUGCAGGGUAUAGACCCGAAACCCGGUGAUCUAGCCAUGGGCAGGUUGAAGGUUGGGUAACACUAACUGGAGGACCGAACCGACUAAUGUUGAAAAAUUAGCGGAUGACCUGUGGCUGGGGGUGAAAGGCCAAUCAAACCGGGAGAUAGCUGGUUCUCCCCGAAAGCUAUUUAGGUAGCGCCUCGUGAAUUCAUCUCCGGGGGUAGAGCACUGUUUCGGCUAGGGGGCCAUCCCGGCUUACCAACCCGAUGCAAACUGCGAAUACCGGAGAAUGUUAUCACGGGAGACACACGGCGGGUGCUAACGUCCGUCGUGAAGAGGGAAACAACCCAGACCGCCAGCUAAGGUCCCAAAGUCAUGGUUAAGUGGGAAACGAUGUGGGAAGGCCCAGACAGCCAGGAUGUUGGCUUAGAAGCAGCCAUCAUUUAAAGAAAGCGUAAUAGCUCACUGGUCGAGUCGGCCUGCGCGGAAGAUGUAACGGGGCUAAACCAUGCACCGAAGCUGCGGCAGCGAACGUAUCACUUAAAGCGAUUCAGCGGGUUACGAUUGACGGAGCGAAGCGACGUCAAAGCGUAUACAAAGUCGAGUCGGUUUAAGGAUACGUUCGUUGGGUAGGGGAGCGUUCUGUAAGCCCGUGAAGGUGGCCUGUGAGGGUUGCUGGAGGUAUCAGAAGUGCGAAUGCUGACAUAAGUAACGAUAAAGCGGGUGAAAAGCCCGCUCGCCGGAAGACCAAGGGUUCCUGUCCAACGUUAAUCGGGGCAGGGUGAGUCGACCCCUAAGGCGAGGCCGAAAGGCGUAGUCGAUGGGAAACGGGUUAAUAUUCCCGUACUUGGUGUUACUGCGAAGGGGGGACGGAGAAGGCUAUGUUGGCCGGGCGACGGUUGUCCCGGUUUAAGCGUGUAGGUGUGUGUUCCAGGUAAAUCCGGUUCACUUUAACACUGAGGCGUGACGACGAGGCACUACGGUGCUGAAGCAACAAAUGCCCUGCUUCCAGGAAAAGCCUCUAAGCAUCAGGUAACAUCAAAUCGUACCCCAAACCGACACAGGUGGUCAGGUAGAGAAUACCAAGGCGCUUGAGAGAACUCGGGUGAAGGAACUAGGCAAAAUGGUGCCGUAACUUCGGGAGAAGGCACGCUGACACGUAGGUGAAGUGAUUUACUCAUGGAGCUGAAGUCAGUCGAAGAUACCAGCUGGCUGCAACUGUUUAUUAAAAACACAGCACUGUGCAAACACGAAAGUGGACGUAUACGGUGUGACGCCUGCCCGGUGCCGGAAGGUUAAUUGAUGGGGUCAGCGCAAGCGAAGCUCCUGAUCGAAGCCCCGGUAAACGGCGGCCGUAACUAUAACGGUCCUAAGGUAGCGAAAUUCCUUGUCGGGUAAGUUCCGACCUGCACGAAUGGCGUAAUGAUGGCCAGGCUGUCUCCACCCGAGACUCAGUGAAAUUGAACUCGCUGUGAAGAUGCAGUGUACCCGCGGCAAGACGGAAAGACCCCGUGAACCUUUACUAUAGCUUGACACUGAACAUUGAGCCUUGAUGUGUAGGAUAGGUGGGAGGCUUUGAAGUGUGGACGCCAGUCUGCAUGGAGCCGACCUUGAAAUACCACCCUUUAAUGUUUGAUGUUCUAACGUGGACCCGUAAUCCGGGUUGCGGACAGUGUCUGGUGGGUAGUUUGACUGGGGCGGUCUCCUCCUAAAGAGUAACGGAGGAGCACGAAGGUUGGCUAAUCCUGGUCGGACAUCAGGAGGUUAGUGCAAUGGCAUAAGCCAGCUUGACUGCGAGCGUGACGGCGCGAGCAGGUGCGAAAGCAGGUCAUAGUGAUCCGGUGGUUCUGAAUGGAAGGGCCAUCGCUCAACGGAUAAAAGGUACUCCGGGGAUAACAGGCUGAUACCGCCCAAGAGUUCAUAUCGACGGCGGUGUUUGGCACCUCGAUGUCGGCUCAUCACAUCCUGGGGCUGAAGUAGGUCCCAAGGGUAUGGCUGUUCGCCAUUUAAAGUGGUACGCGAGCUGGGUUUAGAACGUCGUGAGACAGUUCGGUCCCUAUCUGCCGUGGGCGCUGGAGAACUGAGGGGGGCUGCUCCUAGUACGAGAGGACCGGAGUGGACGCAUCACUGGUGUUCGGGUUGUCAUGCCAAUGGCACUGCCCGGUAGCUAAAUGCGGAAGAGAUAAGUGCUGAAAGCAUCUAAGCACGAAACUUGCCCCGAGAUGAGUUCUCCCUGAGACUUAGAGUCUCCUGAAGGAACGUUGAAGACGACGACGUUGAUAGGCCGGGUGUGUAAGCGCAGCGAUGCGUUGAGCUAACCGGUACUAAUGAACCGUGAGGCUUAACCUUACAACGCCGAAG
rnacentral:rRNA from 1 species